AUGGCUCUAGGCAGCAGGCUGGAGCUCCUCGUCAUCCUCUCAAGAUGCGGCAGCUUGGUACACGCCGGCACGGCGGCGGCCAUCCUCUGGGAGGCCAACCAACCGUUCCCGGUCAACCAAUUGAUGUGCGGGACUAUGUCCCUCGGAGGCAUUCUGUGGGGUUUGGCGCUGCUGAUGUUCCAGUUCGCCUGGCUGUAUUUGGAGGACUUUGAGCCCGGAAAUGUGGCGCUCCUGGUACUGAUCGCCGUCGACUGGGCUGUUGCGUGUCUCUCCGCCGGCUCGGCGUGCGCCGCCCUCGCCGCCAACCAAUACGCCAUCCAGCACCAGUACCGUACUGCGGCCGCGAUGGUGUGUGCUGCCGGGGCUCUCGCCGCGGUGUCCGCCCUCGGCAUGCUCCGGAUCCACGGGUCCCGCUUUGCCCCGGCUCAGGCGCCAUAG
rnacentral:rRNA from 1 species